rnacentral:tRNA from 1 species
GCUAGCGUAGCCCAGCUGGUUAGCUCCUUUGUCUGCAGCAAGGAGGUCUUGGGUUCGAAACCCCACGGCUGCA